UUCCCUACAGAUGGACACGCCCCCACUGAUAUUGUUUUUAAUGCAGCGUGGGAGGGGAGGAUAUGACACGCGAUAUCGCAGCUGAGUGCCACGUGCUGACGUCACUAAGAUCAAUACAGCAAACUCUGAAAGAUGGACAGAGAGACAGGAGAUGGUCCUUUAUAAUGCAGUGUGAUCUGUGCUGCAAUAGAGUUUUGGAAGCUAGAAGUUCAAAACGAGGUGUUGGCAGCACCAUGCUCUCUCUGAAGAUGCUAGGAAGAAUCUGCUCCAUGCCUUUCCAUUCGCUCCUGGGGUUUCCUGCAAGCCCUGACAUUCCUUGGCUUGUAGAUGCAUCACCCCAGUUUCCGCCCCCAUCAUCACA
rnacentral:lncRNA from 1 species